rnacentral:misc_RNA from 1 species
GUCGGGUUCCUGUCAAGGUUUCAUCUACUUCAAAUCAUGCUUCCAUUAUCAAAUUUGAAGGUGGCGUUCAAGCAGGCUUGUUAGGUAGAAUUAGCCCUUCGCCUCUAUCAGAGUGGCAUGCCUUUGGGAUUAUAUCAAAUGGAGAAAAAGAGCAUAUGAUGCUGGCCGGUGCAGUUGGUGACUUCACAAAGUCUUUGGUCUCAAAUCCUCCAAACUACCUUUGGGUUCGAAAAUUACACUUUGCAGGCCUACCCUAUCUCAUAAAUUUAUACAAAAAGGUCGUGGUGGUCGCAACAGGGUCAGGCAUUUGCGUCUUCCUAUCCUUUCUAUUGCAACCAGCUGCAGCUGAAGUGUGUUUAGUGUGGGUGGCCAAGGGAAUAAAGGAGAACUUUGGAAAGGAAAUUAUGGAUAUGGUAGGUGGGUAUUCCAAGGAUAAAGUUAUUGUCCAUGACACAGCUAUACUGGGUCGUCCAAAUGUGGCGAAGAUGAGUGUGGAAGCUGCUAAAAAUUGGGGAGCUGAAGUAGUCAUUGUUACUAGCAAUCCAGAAGGAAGCAGGGAUGUUGUCAAUGCAUGCAAGGCUUCUGGAAUUCCAGCUUUUGGCCCCAUAUGGGAUUCUUAAAGGUUGAAUUAAAUAGCAUAAUUCCAGUGCAGCUGCACCCUUAGUUUGAACACAAGUCCAUCUCUCAGUACCCUCCUUUAUAAAUAAUCAGUAAAAAGUAAUAGUUUACCAUAACUUUAUAUUUGGUAUGAUGUAACUCGAAUAAAGAGAAAGUUAAGGCAUAAAUGGGGGUGCUGGAGUUGGG